rnacentral:lncRNA from 1 species
GUCUCAGAGUUACACUCUCCCUCCUGUAUUCUCAAAUUUUCACAUAGUUGUAUGUGUGAUUAUAACAUCAUGGUUUCAGCUGGUUUCAUCCUCUGGUCCGUUUACCCACCUCUUUUGAUCAUCGCCUUUUGUCUGGGCCAUAAGUGAAAGUAAAAAGGACAUUAGGCACUAUUCUGAGUGUUGGAAGAUAUAGCAGUGGACAAAACUGAUAAAACAUCUCUGCCUUCAUGAAGACUAAUGAGGAGACAUGUGCCCAGUGACAAAGUUUAGAGUCAAGAACAGGGAUGUCUGGCCUCACUUUGGAUAAUCUCGACCUUUUCUGCUGCAAGCAUAACACUAGAUAGAAAAGAGGACCUGUGAAACAUCUUCUCCACGUUUCCCUUCCCUAGUGGGAAGCUUAUUGUUUCAGAGUCAAGAACUUGGUGCCAGGCUACAAUCC